rnacentral:tRNA from 1 species
GCCCAGGUGGCGAAACUGGCAACCGCACUACCUUGAGGUGGUAGCGCCUUCAACGGCUUGGAGGUUCGAAUCCUCUCCUGGGCACCA